CAGUUUGUUGUAUCGCAUCGAAUCGUUCGGAACGCGCUGAGCCCAAAAUAAAAACAAAAAAUAACAGACGAGAGCCGAGCAAAACGUGAAGCAACGUCGAGACGGGGCACGUUAAACGGCACAAAAGUGUAGUGUAGUUCUAGGCUUUAAGUUGUUUUUUCCCCUUAUUUUGGUUUUGUUUUUUUUUUUUAUUUUAUUGCAAUCCUUUUACUUGACACAAUUUACACAAGCACAGAAACACGCGAAAACUACUCGGCGAUUAUGUUUAUUGGCAGCGCGCACAACAACCAAAAGGCCCGCAAAUAGCGCAAUGUUGCCUGACCAAACCCCAACCUAGUGAGUAGCCCUAUGCCAAAGGAAAGCUACCAAAAUGCAUUCGGCGUGCUAACAUCUAGUUCAAUUUCAAGUGCAUACGCGCCAGGCACGUUCAAGUGACAGAGUGAGUGGAAAAGUGGGGUGACAUCAGUGGGCGUGACUGACCAGCUGGCUCCGGCUGGAGAGCGAGUGCGAGUGUGUGAGUGUGUGUGUGCCUUUGAGCUGGACACGCGACAUCUACAAACAUAAUCGCGGGCAAGGAAUACGAAAAACAUUCAGGUUUGCGGCCAACACAAAUCCAUCCAGACACGAAUCCAAAUCCGUAGAAUUUAGCCACAAACAGUACACAGAUACAAAAACAAUUACAACUGAUCGUAUUUGCUAAGCGACCGUAUUUACACUGUGAUCAUGACUUAUAUACCCAAAAAUAUGCAUCACUAUGCGCAUGCAGCCAUGAAUCUGAUCAACAUGGACUCGGAGAAUCGUGUCGUGCUCAAUGUGGGCGGCAUUAGGCAUGAGACAUACAAGGCCACAUUGAAGAAGAUACCAGCGACGCGUUUGUCCCGUCUGACCGAGGCGCUGGCCAACUAUGAUCCCAUACUGAACGAAUACUUCUUCGAUCGGCAUCCGGGCGUAUUCGCACAAGUGCUCAACUAUUACAGAACUGGUAAGCUGCACUAUCCCACAGAUGUGUGCGGUCCGCUGUUUGAGGAAGAAUUGGAAUUUUGGGGUCUUGACUCGAAUCAGGUGGAGCCCUGCUGCUGGAUGACCUAUACACAGCAUCGUGACACACAAGAAACCCUAGCCGUACUGGAUCGCUUAGAUCUGGAUACGGAAAAACCGUCCGAAGAGGAAUUGGCGCGCAAAUUUGGCUUUGAGGAGGACUAUUAUAAAGGCACCAUAUCCUGGUGGCAGGAAAUGAAGCCUCGCAUCUGGUCGCUAUUCGAUGAGCCUUACAGUUCCAAUGCCGCCAAGACCAUUGGCGUCGUCUCGGUAUUCUUCAUAUGCAUUUCGAUAUUGUCCUUCUGCCUGAAAACCCAUCCGGACAUGCGUGUGCCCAUCGUGCACAAUGUGACCGUGAAAACGGCAAACGGGAGCGCCGCUUGGUUUCUGGACAAGUCAAUGACCAAUGCGCAUAUUGCCUUCUUCUAUAUAGAAUGCGUUUGCAAUGCCUGGUUUACGUUUGAGAUACUGGUGCGCUUUAUCUCAUCGCCCAACAAGUGUGAAUUCUUAAAGUCAUCUGUUAACAUCAUAGAUUAUAUAGCGACGCUUAGUUUUUAUAUCGAUCUAGUGCUUCAGCGAUUCGCAUCGCAUCUGGAGAACGCUGACAUACUCGAGUUCUUCUCGAUCAUACGCAUAAUGCGGCUGUUCAAGCUGACACGCCACUCGUCCGGCCUGAAAAUCCUUAUACAAACGUUCCGGGCAUCGGCCAAGGAGUUAACACUGCUCGUAUUCUUCCUGGUGCUGGGCAUUGUGAUCUUUGCCAGCCUCGUCUACUAUGCCGAGCGCAUACAGCCCAAUCCGCACAACGACUUCAAUAGCAUACCGCUGGGCCUGUGGUGGGCAUUGGUCACCAUGACCACUGUCGGCUAUGGUGACAUGGCGCCCAAGACCUACAUUGGCAUGUUUGUCGGCGCCCUAUGCGCCCUUGCCGGUGUGCUAACCAUUGCACUGCCAGUGCCCGUCAUAGUCAGCAACUUUGCCAUGUAUUAUUCGCAUACGCAGGCGCGAGCCAAACUGCCAAAGAAGCGAAGACGAGUGCUUCCCGUGGAACAGCCGCGACAGCCACACCGGCCAGGUGAGCGCGCUCCAGUCAGUGGCUGCGGCACACCAGGAUCUGGUCCACACUCGGGUCCCAUGGGCUCCGGCGGCACCGGACCGCGCCGCAUGAACAACAAAACCAAGGAUCUGGUCAGUCCCAAGUCAGAUGAAUAUACAACAAUGAUUGGCAAACCACGUGAUGGCAAAAAGAGCAGGCUGCUCUAAGCCAUAACCAUGAAUCAAGAACACUGAACUCUGAACCCUGAACUCUAGCGAAAUAUUUAAAUGCAAAGAGCAAUGCAAGGCAAGGCAUAAAUAAGGAACAUAAAGAAUGGAGCAUAUCUAUGAAGCAACUAUUGAACUGGCAUCAUUAUUAUUUAGAAAGAAUUCAUCCCAACUAGAAGUAUCCACACAUUAGAAAGCCAUUAUCAAAUAAAAUGCACACUAUCUGAAUACAACUUUAAAGGAGCCGCAGGAUUGAGAUGCUUAUCGUGGUCCCUUGGGCGCCAGCAUCGUUGCGAUGAGUCCACGCACCAUGUUAGAUCUGAAUCCGGCGCUGGCCAUGGGUAAGCCCACAUUUCAGCCGCGUUUUCCGACACAGCUAGCGGCCACGCCCCCAGCGACAGCCCCCCCAACAAUACCAGUGACAUUGGCAGCGAAGGCAACAGCAACAGCCACAGCAGCGGGUGCAGCGGCUGCAGCCGCAUCUGGUACAAUGCCCGUGGUGCCCAGCAUAGCGGUGUCCACCACCGCGAGUCUGGGCAAGGAUAGCACUGGCACUGGCACCACAACGACGACCAGCACUACUCUGGAGGCCACCAAGAAGGCAUUUCUUUAAAGGAUUUGAAAUUGGAACAAUGGAACAUGAUGAUAUUCUCAAAAAUCCCAUCAAGCAAUAUUUAGCCUAUAACCAUUCUUAACCUUCGCAUACGUAUGACUACUUACGAGUAAAUAUCUCUAAAAAUCUAUUAUCACGCAAGCUAACAUUGACUCCCAUAUUCGGCCAUAUCAUGACAUACAUAUUACUGUAGCUAUAUAAGUAUUAUUACAAUUAAUAAUGCAUCGGCACUGCUUGGCGUUUUAAACAGAUAUUGAACAAGUUUUUAAUGAUGACGUUUUUUAGUAUUUUAUUUAGCGUGGUUAUCGAUCCAUUUUAUAUAAAUACAUUAUUAGCCAGAAAUAGCCAGAAGUGUAUAUAAUACAUAGCUAACGAUUUUAACAGCCGUAGGACUCAAGAACAAUAACAAAGAAAAUAAACAAUGUUUUUUAUUCGGUUUGCCAGUUCCUUAAAUAUUGUCCAAGGACAGUUGUGUUUCGAAAGCUUUAAUUUCAUCUAGAAUCUAGACACAACAUCAAAUCAGUUAUGCAAUUUUCUUUAAAGCGCAACAGUUCCCAAAGCUAUUCAUGUGCCCCAAGUAUUGUCUUUUUUGUAUGCCUCAAUUGAAAAAACCAACUCAAGUAGCUGGACUUUGGUUCGUGCUGUGCUAGCGUUUCUUUGCUUAGAAGCUUUGUUAUUGCCUAAUUAGAAAAUAUACGCAUGGCUCAGACAGAAGAUCUAUAAUAUAUAAAAGUUUUUCACAAUAUUAUGGCAACUGCUUAAAAUUCAUUGAAGCAUUCAACGCUGCCAAUCGCUUGUUUAAGGCACGUGUUAACUUUUUCAGCUAAUAAGUGCUUACAUCCAACGGGCUUUCCUUGACUUUGGCGUUGAUGCUACCAACCGAAAAACAUUGUGCAAACUUUAGAAAACUUUAGAAAAACAAAUGAAAUUUUCUGGCUGCCCGUGCUCUCAUCAUCAGCACCAGACAAAUUAGCAGAGGGGCCCAUGAAAGAAACGCUUCAACUUUAAUUACAUUUUUUUUUUUCUGUUUUAAACCUGAAACAGACGGCACGGCACGGGUCUCGUGUAGAAGUUGGAGAAGAAGUGUAAAUUGGCAUGGAAAAUCUCUCUGGCAGGACUUUGCUUUAACGAGCGUAAAACGAUUUAAAUUGCAUAAAUUCAAAUGUUUUUCAUCUUCACAGUUGUUGUAGGCAAACGUAGCUCACAACUUGUUUUCCUUUUAAAUACUUUCUUUUUCUUAGGUAAUAAGGACAGUUGUAGGGGGUCAGAGUUCAGAGCAGAGUGCAUAUACUUGGAACAUAUUAAUGUGUUUCUCUUGGAUAUCAUUAGGUAAACCCUCUUGUACAUUUUAAAUAUCUCUCAGCAAGCAUUAUACAUACUUACAUACAAGCAUAGUUAUUGUAUCUAUACUACUAACGAUAAUUUCUAAGCUAAAGAAAAAAAAAACAUACAAAAAAGAAGAAGAUUCUAACGCUUUGCAAUAAAUACCAAAAUAUUUCGUUAAACAAGAGAAACGAAAAAUUUAAUAAAGUUUGCAAAA